rnacentral:rRNA from 1 species
UACGUAGGGAGCAAGCGUUGUCCGGAAUCAUUGGGCGUAAAGCGCGCGUAGGCGGUCUCAUAAGUCCGCUGUGAAAGUCAAAGGCUCAACCUUUGAAAGCCGGUGGAUACUGUGAGGCUAGAGUACGGAAGAGGCUAGUGGAAUUCCUGGUGUAGCGGUGGAAUGCGCAGAUAUCAGGAGGAACACCAAUAGCGAAGGCAGCUCGCUGGGACGUUACUGACACUGAGGCGCGAAAGCGUGGGGAGCGAACAGG